rnacentral:rRNA from 1 species
UACGUAGGGUGCGAGCGUUGUCCGGAAUUAUUGGGCGUAAAGAGCUUGUAGGCGGUCUGUCGCGUCUGCUGUGAAAAUCCGGGGCUCAACCCCGGACUUGCAGUGGGUACGGGCAGACUAGAGUGUGGUAGGGGAGACUGGAAUUCCUGGUGUAGCGGUGAAAUGCGCAGAUAUCAGGAGGGAACACCGAUGGCGAAGGCAGGUCUCUGGGCCACUACUGACGC